AGAACGAACGCUGGCGGCAGGCUUAACACAUGCAAGUCGAGCGCCCCGCAAGGGGAGCGGCAGACGGGUGAGUAACGCGUGGGGAUGUACCCAAAGGUACGGAACAACUCCGGGAAACUGGAGCUAAUACCGUAUGUGCCCGAGAGGGGAAAGAUUUAUCGCCUUUGGAUCAACCCGCGUCAGAUUAGCUAGUUGGUAGGGUAAUGGCCUACCAAGGCGACGAUCUGUAGCUGGUCUGAGAGGAUGAUCAGCCACACUGGGACUGAGACACGGCCCAGACUCCUACGGGAGGCAGCAGUGGGGAAUAUUGGACAAUGGGCGCGAAGCCUGAUCCAGCCAUGCGCGUGAGUGAUGACGGCCUUAGGGUGUAAAGCUCUUUCGACGGGGUACGAUAAUGACGGUACCCGUAGAAGAACGCCCGGCUAACUCGUGCCAGCAGCCG
rnacentral:rRNA from 1 species